CCNUCAGGAUAGCAGUAACGUUUUCAGUUUUAUGAGGUAAAGNGAAUGAUUAGAGGCNUUGGGGNUGAAACAGCCUUAACCUAUUCUCAAACUUUAAAUAUGUAAGAAGUCCUUGUUANUUAGUUGAACGUGGACACUNGAAUGCACCGUUANUAGUGGGCCAUUUUUGGUAAGCAGAACCGGCGAUGCGGGAUGAACCGAACGCGAGGUUAAGGUGCCGGAAUGCACGCUCAUCAGACACCACAAACGAGAGCAGCAUUCAACGGUCGCAGGGAGGUGCCUAGGGAAGCAGUGAUAUAGUUAUGUUGUUGCGAGGGGUUUACUUUGCAAUGUGGUGUCGCCGAAACGUCGAGUUUUGAUUAGUCCUAUGCCAAGGGCGAGGUUANUGAUCUGCGUGGAUUGUUGAAUCGUUCAGCUUACCCGCAGCCGUGUUCGCACGGUCCACAGAUUAAGUGAUUGCCGGCAGCGUAUCGCUGUUUAAGAUAUGAUCGGCCUCGAGGUGUAAGCUUGGAGAUCACGCGCAAAAGGUGUUAGUUCAUCUAGACAGUUGGACGGUGGCCAUGGAAGUCGGAAUCCGCUAAGGAGUGUGUAACAACUCACCAACCGAAUGAACUAGCCCUGAAAAUGGAUGGCGCUCAAGCGUGCUACCCAUACCUCGCCGCCAGGGUAGAAACGAUGCCCUGGCGAGUAGGCUGACGUGGGGGUCAGUGACGAAGCC
rnacentral:rRNA from 1 species